rnacentral:rRNA from 1 species
UACGUAGGGUGCAAGCGUUAUUCGGAAUUACUGGGCGUAAAGCGUGCGCAGGCGGCUUCGCAAGACAGAUGUGAAAUCCCCGGGCUUAACCUGGGAACUGCAUUUGUGACUGCAUGGCUAGAGUGCGGCAGAGGGGGAUGGAAUUCCGCGUGUAGCAGUGAAAUGCGUAGAUAUGCGGAGGAACACCGAUGGCGAAGGCAAUCCCCUGGGCCUGCACUGACGCUCAUGCACGAAAGCGUGGGGAGCAAACAGG